UACGUAGGGUGCGAGCGUUAAUCGGAAUUACUGGGCGUAAAGCGUGCGCAGGCGGUUUUGUAAGCCAGAUGUGAAAGCCCCGGGCUUAACUUGGGAACUGCGUCUGAUACUGGAAGGCUUGAGUGCGGGAGGGGGAUGUGGAAUUCCAGGUGUAGCGGUGAAAUGCGUAGAUAUCUGGAGGAACACCGGUGGCGAAGGCGGCAUCCUGGACCGACACUGACGCUGAGGCGCGAAAGCUAGGGGAGCAAACGGG
rnacentral:rRNA from 1 species